AGGGAAGAUGUUAUAUUGGUCACCUCUUCCUUCUGGCACCUGGGUUAUUUACAGACUAAAUGAGACAGUGUAUAUCUAACAUUGCUUUGUGGAUGCUAUCAAGUGCUGGCAAAUGUGUGGGAGAAUGAAUGGAAAACUUCAUCAAUUUCUAGGAUAGUAAAUUGGUGCUGCUAUUUUGGAGAGCAAUUUGUCAGCCUUCAGGGGAAACUGAAUAUGCACAUCCUCUAAGACCCAGCAGUUUCACUUCAAAGAAAAUUUCUUAUAUGCACAGAGACUUGUACAAGGAUAUUUAUCACAGCACUGUUUGUAAUAACAAAGGGCUGGAAAUAAACCAAAUGGCCAAUGAUAAGAAUUGAUAAAUGUGGUAAAUGCCUAAAAUAGAAUGUCACACAGCAGUUAAAAAAUCAUUUAUUCACUAAUUAAGCAAAGGACAAAAAGCCUCAACAGAAAAAAAAAGACAAAAGCCUUGAAUAGUCACUUUGCCAAAUGUUCAAUACACGUACAAAAACAUGGGCAAGUUCAUUGGUUGUCAAGGAAGUUCGAAUUAAAGCCACAUUUUGCAGGUACAACACUGGCACAAGUUUAAGUCUGAUGAUACCAAGUCUUGGAGAAGGUUGAAGCUACUGGAAAACCUGCCCUCUGCUGGUGGGAGUGCAAAUUGCUCCAAGCUCUUUGGACAAUAAUUUGGCAUCCUCUAGUGAAGUUGAAGAUGUGUGUGCUUGAGACUCAGCAAUUCCCCUUUGUGACAUCAGGAUGCUCCCGCACAUAUGCUUAAGAACAUUCAUGCCAGCUUUGUUUAUAUAACAAAAACGUGGAAAUAACCCAAAUGUCUGAGGAUGGGGAAUGGACAAAUAAUGGUUCAUAGUUAUGAAAAUGAAUACACAACAGCUACAAGCAUCUACUGGAAUGAAUCUCACAUGCAUUGUGUUGUAGAAGAAUAUGUAUAAUUCCAUUUAUGUAAAGUUUAAAAGCAUGCACAACUAAAUGAUAUGUUAUUUAUGAGUAUAUGACAUAUAUGAUAAAGGCAAAGAAUAAAUAAAGUAAGGAAAGGUAAGACAAUAAGAGUUUGUGAUACUGGUUACCUAUUAUGGGGAAGGAUGUUGGGGACAGGUGGGACACCUUGGGGAUUAUCUGAUACUGGCAAUCUGACAGGUGGUAGGUCACCAGGUGUUCUUAUUAACUUCAAUACUCUAUAUAUCCUAACACUGGUAAAUCUCAAGUAUGUAAUACUGAAUGAAAAAAAAUCAAAAGUCAAAUAGUACAGUCCUAUUUGUGAAGAAAAACUAACCCACGUGAAUAAAGUAUUGUUAGGGAUGCCUCUCUAUGUAAAUAAAGCCGUACAGGGCAGCUACAUGUUAAAUUCGUUGGCGUGUGCACAUACAGUGGAAUGAUAAUGGGAUUAGGGACUGAGUGAAGGGGAGGGCAGUACAUAACAUUUCAAAAUGGUAAACAUGAAAAUGGGGCUGUUUGUGAACUCCUGAUGCUUGUGUGCCAUGAACUGACUUGAGGUGGUUAAAUUAAGCAAUUCGCUCUCUUUCCAUGCAUGUGAUAUCCCAAAGGGAAAGAAAGGUUGCUUUGCAAAUUAGAAUAAUCAAAAUCAAGUAUGAACCAUUAAACAUGUUUUGCUUGCUGGUAGAUUAAGGAUCACACUGGAUAUACAGUAGAAAAUA
rnacentral:lncRNA from 1 species